ensembl:lncRNA
UCUGGGCUUAGUAGGUUGAUUCACUCAAGUACUUUGAAAACUAUUAAAGAUCUCUGAACUGAGUCACUGGCUGCUGGUACAAUCAGAGUCUCUGUCACCAUGAAGAAAAGAACAUGCCUGGGUUGCCCACAGGAACCAGGAGAAGGAUGGGAGACAGGUGAACAGACAGAGGCUCCCUGACCAAGUCCAGCCUAGAUGUCAAGACAGCUGCAGACAUUUAACUGAAUCAGGAAUCCAACCCUGCCCCCUGCCCUGGAAGCACGGCGUCCCAACUACUGGAUCACCAUGGAAGUCCCUACCAACACCAUUUUUAUUCAACAUUCUAUUGGACCAAAAAUAGUGAAGAUAUUCUUGAAGAAGACCUGGACAAAAAAAGAAAG